GCCCGGGUGGUCUAGUGGUAUGAUUCUCGCUUAGGGAAGGCUUCUGCCUAUAUAACCCCAAGCAUAUUUGCGAGAGGUCCCGCGUUCGAUCCGCGGCUCGGGCC
rnacentral:tRNA from 1 species